rnacentral:lncRNA from 1 species
UUCCCUUCAUUUUUCCCUGUUUUUCUUUCCUAGAUACUUCUUUUUCUCUUUCCUUUUUCUUACCUUUUUCUUUUUUCCUCCUGUCUUUUUCCUUUUUCCUUUUUCACUUUCCUGUUUGCUUUCCCUUUUCUCUUCCCUUGUUUUGCUUUCCUUCCUUUUCUUUCCAUUUGCCUUUCUUUUUUUCUUUGCUUCUUCCUUCCUUUCCUUUUUCCUUUCCUUGUUUCCCGUUUCUGUAGGGAAAGAGGUUUCUUUCUUUUGUUUCCUUGCUCCUUUCCUUUCUUCCUCCAUUGUUUACUUUCCUCUUCUCUUUCCACUUUUCUUGGUUUCUUUCUUUUCUCUUUUCUUCCUUCUUCUUCCCUUUUUCUUACUUUCCCACUUUUUCACUUUUUCUUCCCAUUUUCCUUUCCUUUUUUCUUUCCUUGUGUUUUUCUGCCCUUGUGCUUUUCUUUUUUGAUUCCUUCCUCUUCUUUCCACUGCUUUGCUUUCCAUUUCUCCUUACAUUGUACUUUCCUCUUAUCCUUUCCUCUUUCCUCUUUUCUUCUUUCUUCCAUUUCCUCUUUCCUUUCCCUCCCUUUCCUUUUCCUCUUUUCUCUCCUCUUUUCUUUCCUGUUUCCUCUCCUUUUUUCUUCAUCCCGGCUUCUUUCUUUCCCUUUUGGCCCAAACCAGGCCCACGCUGAGCCCUUUCAAACAGCAAGUCACAAUGUUUCCUUUCCUUGCAGCUGUCAUGUCUUCUUGGCUCAUACAAGCUCGCCUGAAGCUCCUCCUGCUUUCACCUCAGCCUGCCCAGCUGUGUAGACUAAAAGCACCUCCCAACAGGCACAGCUUCCUUGAUCCCUGCGCACGGUGACCUUGUGGGGCUCUGACGGCUCCCGACCCAGGGCCAGCAUGCAAGAGGAAUGCUGGCGACUGCUCAGAUGGUUCUCGUGGCCCACAAGCCGCGCGAGGGAAUGGCAGCAGGUCCCAGGCGCAUCGUGGAGGGGCCGCGGGAAGCUGGCAAGGCACUGUCCAGGGAGCGCCUGGAGGAUGUUUGGGGUGGAGCGCCAUGGCAGAAUUGGGCAGGCAACAUGGCAGGCUGCUUCUGCAGGGCCUCGUGCUCCAAGCGCAGCUCUUGCUGCCCAACAGCAAC